GUCCCUACGGGAGGCAGCAGUGGGGAAUUUUGGACAAUGGGGGCAACCCUGAUCCAGCAAUGCCGCGUGAGUGGAGAAGGCCUUCGGGUUGUAAAGCUCUUUUGUCAGGGAAGAAACGGUAGUAGCUAAUAUCUAUUGCUAAUGACGGAACCUGGAGAAUAAGCACCGGCUAACUACGUGCCAGCAGCCGCGGUAAUACGUAGGGUGCAAGCGUUAAUCGGAAUUAUUGGGCGUAAAGCGUGCGCAGGCGGAUGUGUAAGUCAAAU
rnacentral:rRNA from 1 species